UACGUAGGGCGCAAGCGUUAUCCGGAAUUAUUGGGGCGUAAAGAGCUCGUAGGCGGUUUGUCGCGUCUGCCGUGAAAGUCCGGGGCUCAACUCCGGAUCUGCGGUGGGUACGGGCAGACUAGAGUGAUGUAGGGGGAGACUGGAAUUCCUGGUGUAGCGGUGAAAUGCGCAGAUAUCAGGAGGAACACCGGUGGCGAAGGCGGGUCUCUGGGCCGAUACUGACGCUGAGGAGCGAAAGCGUGGGGAGCGAACGG
rnacentral:rRNA from 1 species